rnacentral:rRNA from 1 species
UGGUGGAGUGAUUUGUCUGGUUAAUUCCGAUAACGAACGAGACCUUGGCCUGCUAAAUAGACCGGUCGAUCUUUGAUUGGCAUUAUGGGUCUUCUUAGAGGGACUAUAUGCGUCUAGCAUAUGGAAGCACGAGUCAAAACA